CCAUAACGUUCUUAAUACUUUGAAAUUCAAACUAAGCACUCAUAAACUUGUAAUGAAUUUAUGUUUUAGUUUUGAAUUGUUUUCAUCUAACUUAUAUAGAAAUAUACUAGGUCAUUAGGAAACAUUAUUAAGGCGGCCGUAGGUGGUGAAUCCACCCUAUAAAAUAUAGGGUGGAUUAUUAUUAGAAUAGUUUGUGUGUCAAUUGAUUUGAUACAUUUCAGCAAAAUCAAAUGAUAUUUACGAAAUGAGGGACUUGUAAUGUGUAGAGUGAUUAUUUUAUCGUUGAAUACUUACUAAAACUAUAAGCACUAUUCAACUGCCAUGCGCCGUGUAGCCAUCCGAAUGACAUUCCAUUACUUUCUCAGGGCCAAAAUUAAAAGUGGAAUAUUAAAAGUUGGAAAUCGCUUUACCCCCGAAAUAAGGAUG